UACAGAGGAUGCAGCGUUAUCCGGAAUGAUUGGGCGUAAAGCGUCUGUAGGUGGCUUUUUAAGUCCGCCGUCAAAUCCCAGGGCUCAACUCUGGACAGGCGGUGGAAACUACCAAGCUGGAGUACGGUAGGGGCAGAGGGAAUUCCGGUGGAGCGGUGAAAUGCGUAGAUAUCAGGAGGAACACCGAUGGCGAAGGCAGCCUUCUGGGCCAACACUGACGCUCAUGCACGAAAGCGUGGGGAGCAAACAGG
rnacentral:rRNA from 1 species